GGACGAGCCUCUGGAGAGACUGUCUUAAAUGACGGCACCGAAGGAGCAAAGGAAUUUUAUUCCCUAAACUCUCAGGUAAAAGAACAGAGAAUGAUAC
rnacentral:ncRNA from 2 species